AUUACCAACUACAGAAAUCGAUUCUGAUUAACUUCAAAGAAGAGGAAUUUAUGGGAAGGACAUCAACAGUGCACAGAACCACGGAGAAGGCUGGCAAAAACAGUCUUGGCAAGUGAGCAAGAAGUGCAGGAGCGGGAAGCCAAGAACACCGAGAUCACACUACAAGGAACAUCCGACUGGGCCUCCCCCACUGACACUUGUCUGUCUGUGCACCUGCCAUUGCCACCCCUUGGCUCCUAACUGCUGCCCUCGUGCCUAACAACCUGUUACUUAGGGUCACUCCCUAAAAAUGGAAAUCCAUGGACAGGAACGGUCAGUCAGCUGGGACUAGUAUUGCUCACAAUUGCCCAAAGGGGAAAGCAACCCAAAUGUUUAACAGCAGAAGAAUGGACACACAAAACGUGGUCUAGCCCUACAACGGGAUACUGUUCAGCUGUCAAAAGGAACGACACAUGCUACAACGGGGAUGAACCUGAAAAACAUGACACUCUGUGCAAGCAGCCGGACACAAAAGGUCGCGCAUUGAGUGAUUCUGUUUUCAUGAAAUAUCUGGAAUAGGUGUACACGCCUGAAGUCCCCGUUGUUUGUCCUC